UAUCCCCGAGUUAAGCAUUAGUCAAGUUUACUACCAAGGAUUUGAGGUGGGUAAAAUAAAGAAAAUUAUUUUAUUUCAAGUUAAAUUCCGCAAGAAAAUGUUUAAGUUAUUUAUUGUGAAAGUUAUUUUAUGUCCAACGUGUUUACAUAUGCUAUGAUUUAUGAAUGAGAUUAUGAUGUGAGCAUAUAGCAAUAUGCAAAGUUUAUGUUCCUGUGCACAGUUGAAGUGAUAUGUCCCAUGUGUUCAUACUUCCUUAAGUGUUGUAUUGAAAUGUGGUUGAAGUUAUGUCCCAUAUUUCCUCUCUUGUUAUUUGAGCAAGUUGUUGGUUUAUGGUUGAAGUUAUGAUUUUAUAUUUCAUAUGCUAUGUUUCACGUUUGGACAAAGUAAAAGUUAGUUAUGAAUUCCCCCUCACUGAGUAUAUUUAAAAUACUCACCCCAAUUUGUUUAAAACCUUUUCAGGCGAGGAGCAGGGAGAUGCGUGAUGGAUGUGUGUGGUGCUUAGGAUAUUUUAAUCAUGCUUUCUAUAGUAUUAUUAAAGACUCUUUGUUGGUUAAGAAAAAUUUAGGAUUUGAAGUAAGUUUAUUUUGAUGGUAAAGUUUAAGAAUUUCUAGUGAAUCAUAUUUGACUUUCUUAUAUAAUGUUAGGUACUUUGAUAAAUUAGUGUUAUGUUUUCAAUCUAGUGUGUAUGGUAUUUUUCUAAAAAUGAUAUUUGGUUGUUUUACCUUCGAUUAUUAGGUUCUCU
rnacentral:lncRNA from 1 species